rnacentral:rRNA from 1 species
UACAGAGGUCUCAAGCGUUGUUCGGGAUUCAUUGGGCGUAAAGGGUGCGUAGGCGGCGCGGUAAGUCGGGUGUGAAAUCUCGGAGCUUAACUCCGAAACUGCAUUCGAUACUGCCGUGCUUGAGGACUGGAGAGGAGACUGGAAUUUACGGUGUAGCGGUGAAAUGCGUAGAUAUCGUAAGGAAGACCAGUGGCGAAGGCGGGUCUCUGGACGUU